rnacentral:rRNA from 1 species
GGACGAACGCUGGCGGCGUGCCUAAUACAUGCAAGUCGAACGGGCUUUCUAUGGAAGCUUGCUUCCACUGAGAAGAUAGUGGCGAACGGGUGAGUAACACGUGGGUAACCUGCCCAUAAGAGGGGGAUAACAUCCGGAAACGGGUGCUAAUACCGCAUAGUUUUCUUGAUCGCAUGAUCGGGAAAGGAAAGACGGCCUUUGUGCUGUCGCUUAUGGAUGGACCCGCGGCGUAUUAGUUAGUUGGUGAGGUAACGGCUCACCAAGACGAUGAUACGUAGCCGACCUGAGAGGGUGAUCGGCCACAUUGGGACUGAGACACGGCCCAAACUCCUACGGGAGGCAGCAGUAGGGAAUCUUCCGCAAUGGACGAAAGUCUGACGGAGCAACGCCGCGUGAGUGAAGAAAAGGUUUUCGGAUCGUAAAACUCUGUUGUCAGAGAAGAACAAGUUGGAGAGUAACUGCUCCAGCCUUGACGGUAUCUGACCAGAAAGCCACGGCUAACUACGUGCCAGCAGCGGC